GGGCAGUUUAUUCUAAUAAUUUGUAGUGGCACAGUAUGAUUUAUUUUUGGUGAGGGGAUGUAAAUUUCAAACAAAGUUCUGAACAGAUUUUUGGGGUGAAGUAGAAUAGUAGGUUAGUGGAGAGCGAUAACCAGUUUUUUAAUUAAUAGGGCUCCACCCUUCUCCCCUUACAAAGAAAACGAUAUACUUAAAAGUAGAAAAUCUCGUCAACGGCUUGACACAAAUUAAAAAUGU